AACGAACGCUGGCGGCAUGCCUAACACAUGCAAGUCGAACGAGACCUUCGGGUCUAGUGGCGCACGGGUGCGUAACGCGUGGGAACCUGCCCUUAGGUUCGGAAUAACUCCCCGAAAGGGGUGCUAAUACCGGAUAAUGUCUUCGGACCAAAGAUUUAUCGCCUUUGGAUGGGCCCGCGUUGGAUUAGCUAGUUGGUAGGGUAAAAGCCUACCAAGGCGACGAUCCAUAGCUGGUCUGAGAGGAUGAUCAGCCACACUGGGACUGAGACACGGCCCAGACCCCCGGGGGAGGCGGGAGUGGGGAAAUUUGGACAUGGGGCGAAAGCCUGACCCGCCACGGCCGGGUGGGUGAUGAAGGCCUUGGGGUUGUAAAGCGCUUUUACCCGGGAGGAUAAGGCAAGAACGGGGAGAAUAAGCCCCGGCAACCUCCUG
rnacentral:rRNA from 1 species